GGGUUCUUCUCCUCAAGCUGGAAAAGUGCUUCUUCUAGACUCAGCUCUCACCAGCUCAAGCAACCGAGAAAGAGUCUUCCAGAGUUAUUUGGUGGUGAAACCUUCUUUCCCAGACAUCUGUCUGCAUGGGACUCCAUGUAGAAGAGGAGCUGUAUUGACUGCCUGGAAGCAAUGCCAUGGCUAGAUUCAGGUUUUAAUAUAAACUCCGUGGCUCCUGUGUGGAGCGGAUUCAGAAGGUAAGAAAUAUUUGUGCAUGUUGUCCAAGCACUGGUCAUGUUGCUGUGAACCAGACCUCUGGGAUGUCUGCCUCACUAGCCUUGGUAUAGGGAGUGCGUUAUUAAUCAUUUUAUCCCAGUGCCCAGCUCAGUCUGGCAGAUAGUAUGCACUCACCACCCUUUUUGAAAUGAAUGCAUGUUGUUUUCAGUCAUUGUGUUAGACACUGAGGUUGAAGAAGACAGAUGCAGUCUCUAUUCUCAUGCAGUGAGCAACCUGGCAAGCACAUAGUAGGCACUUUAUAUGUGUUUACGGAUUUACUGAAUGAUUAGCAUAAAUAAGACAAAAGGUAGCAAGGUGAAGAGGUGGGAAUCUAUUUUUUAUUUUAUUUUUUAAAUUAUUUUAUUUUUUUGGCUGUGACCAUGGCAUGUGGAAGUUCCUGGGCCAGGAGUUGAACCUGAGCUGCAGCAGUGACCUGAGCCAUAGCAGUGACAAUGCCAGAUUCUCGACUUCUAGGCCACCAGGAAACUUGGGAAUCUGUAUUUUAAACUCAUUCCUUGGCUAUUGCUGAUGUCCAGGGGCCAGCAUUUGAGAACUGCUGUGUGCCAAUCAGAGAUGAUGUUUCUUUGCUUGUCCCAAUGAGAUCAAGGCCCUGACCUUCUUACACUCACUAUUCCUGGUUCUUGUCACCUGGGACCUUUAAGUUCCUGGACUCACUGCCCUUGAGCAGUGUGUGUGCGUGUGUGAGCAGUGACGUGCCCUGAUUUCCUGAUCUUGAUUGGAUCCUCUGAUUUGAGCUUAGAGCAAUGCUGGUCUUUUAUAGCCCAAAUCCUGAGGGGAACCAUCUCUACUUGACAUUGAGAUGUUUGUUUCUGGUUUCCACUUCUCUGCACUCCCCCUAACACCCCGACUCCCUCAUGGCUGUAAUACUGCAUUCUUGGGUCUGUAUGAACGUCUCUUAAGAUCUGCUUGAGGACACCUACAAGGCAAAACACAUUUGUUUUAAUAUAAGUUGACAAUAAAGUUCUGUUUGAUGUUUGAUGGGAAAUGUUUUUAAAGAGAAGACUGCAUGGCCUUUUAAGAGAGGCUGUGAGACUUUCCUUACAGAAAGAGUUACCUGCAGAAAUCAAAGACAAAAGUCACUGCUUGACUAAUUUGUGGCAAGUGGAAUCAUUUUUCUUAAUUGGUUGGUCUGAAAGAGAAUAGUUGUGAUUGUCUUAACUGGUAGUUCUCAGAUUCCAACCUGUGGAUAAGGUUCACCAGAAUCACCUGAGAAGCUUAUGAAAGGGUCAUGCCCAAGCCUCACGUGAAAUCUUCUGAAUCAGGGUCUCUAACAGGUAAGGCACAGGAAGGUUUAUUUCCAAAAAACAUUCCCUGGAGGUUCUUGUAUACAGUUCAGACUGGUAAGUAUAGUGGAUGAUGGACCACUUCUCACCCUGGCACAGUCGCAUCCUCUCAUUAGGCCAGCUCUGACUCUGUCCCAACUUGAAGUCACAGCCCAGCGUCACCCAUCCCAAGACACAGGAUGUAGCCCCAAGACACUUUCUCAUCAAUUCUUGGAGCCUGCUUAUGCCAGCCAAGGCUGUUCGAUCCUGGCUAUCAAACACCAGUCUGUGAAACCCAGGGUGGUCUCCCAUUCGAGCUGAACCCCACCGUCUGUGAGUCUUCAGCAUGGACAUUUGUGGGCAAGGGAGAAAACCAAUUUUUCCUGCAGCUGUAUCAAGGGAUAUACGUGUCCCAUCAUUAGAGUUAGUAAUUUCCCUGAUGGUGCAAACAUCAUGUCAGCUCUCAUUCAAUUUAAUCAGGUUGGCUAUCGACUGGCUUUUCUUCCCCAUAGAGAAUAGGGGUAGAAGGGAGAUGCUGCCUAUUUCGGAUCGGGAAAAGACGAGGACUUUGAUUUAUUCAUUUUUAAACUUUAUUUCCAAAGCUUAAAUAAACUUUGCUGAAAUUUUCUCAUUUGCCUUCACGAGGAGUUCUUGAUAGUAAAACAAAGGAACUUGCCUUAAAUAGAGCCAAGAGGCUUGCAUAUCCCAGUCCAUGUCUUUAGAGAGUGAGGCUCAAGCUCAAAGUUCAGGGUGCGCAUACAUCACCCUGAUUACUGAACACUGGAUCAGUCUCUAAAUAAAGUCAUAGGUGGAGUUCUGUUGUGGCACAGCAAGUUAAGGAUCCGGUGUUGUCACUGCAUCGGCUCAGGUCACUACUGUGAUGCAGGUUCAGUCCCUGGUCUGGGAACUUCCCCAUGCUGCUGGUGCGACAAAGAAAGAAA
rnacentral:lncRNA from 1 species